GGUUCCGUAGUGUAGUGGUUAUCACGUUCGCUUCACACACGCGAAAGGUCUCCGGUUCGACUUUGACGGAACCA